rnacentral:rRNA from 1 species
GCUGGCGGCGUGCCUAACACAUGCAAGUCGAACGGAGCUAUUAUGGAAGUACCUUCGGGUGCGGAAGUUUUAGCUUAGUGGCGAACGGGUGAGUAACGCGUGAGCAACCUGCCUCUCAGUGGGGGACAACAGUUGGAAACGACUGCUAAUACCGCAUAAAGCAUCGAGACCGCAUGAUCAUGAUGCCAAAGAUUUAUUGCUGAGAGAUGGGCUCGCGUCUGAUUAGAUAGUUGGUGGGGUAACGGCCUACCAAGUCGACGAUCAGUAGCCGGACUGAGAGGUUGAACGGCCACAUUGGGACUGAGAUACGGCCCAGACUCCUACGGGAGGCAGCAGUGGGGAAUAUUGGGCAAUGGGCGAAAGCCUGACCCAGCGACGCCGCGUGAGGGAAGAAGGUCUUCGGAUUGUAAACCUCUUUCAGCAGGGAAGAAGCAAGUGACGGUACCUGCAGAAGAAGUCACGGCUAACUACGUG